rnacentral:rRNA from 1 species
CAGUAGCCGCGGGAAGACGAACCGUGCAAACGUUACUCGGAAUCACUGGGCUUAAAGCGCACGUAGGCGGCGACAUAAGUUAGAGGUGAAAUCCCAUCGGCUCAACCGUGGAACUGCCUCUAAUACUGUGUUGCUUGAGGGAGAACGGGGCAUUCGGAACUUCCGGUGGAGCGGUGAAAUGUGUUGACAUCGGAAGGAACGCCGGUGGCGAAAGCGGAAUGCUGGGUCUCUUCUGACGCUGAGGUGCGAAAGCUAGGGUAGCGAACGGGAUUAGAGACCCCAGUAGUCCCUGUCUCUUAUA